rnacentral:rRNA from 1 species
UACGUAGGGUGCAAGCGUUAAUCGGAAUUACUGGGCGUAAAGCGUGCGCAGGCGGUUUUGUAAGUCUGUCGUGAAAUCCCCGGGCUCAACCUGGGAAUUGCGAUGGAGACUGCAAGGCUAGAAUCUGGCAGAGGGGGGUAGAAUUCCACGUGUAGCAGUGAAAUGCCUAGAGAUGUGGAGGAACACCGAUGGCGAAGGCAGCCCCCUGGGUCAAGAUUGACGCUCAUGCACGAAAGCGUGGGGAGCAAACAGG